UUGGAACUGAGACACGGUCCAAACUCCUACGGGAGGCAGCAGUGAGGAAUAUUGGUCAAUGGACGAGAGUCUGAACCAGCCAAGUAGCGUGAAGGAUGACUGCCCUAUGGGUUGUAAACUUCUUUUAUACGGGAAUAAAGUGAGCCACGUGUGGCUUUUUGUAUGUACCGUAUGAAUAAGGAUCGGCUAACUCCGUGCCAGCAGCCGCGGUAAUACGGAGGAUUCGAGCGUUAUCCGGAUUUAUUGGGUUUAAAGGGAGCGUAGGCGGGUUGUUAAGUCAGUUGUGAAAGUUUGCGGCUCAACCGUAAAAUUGCAGUUGAUACUGGCGACCUUGAGUGCAACAGAGGUAGGCGGAAUUCGUGGUGUAGCGGUGAAAUGCUUA
rnacentral:rRNA from 1 species